AAGGCGAAUAAUUCCCGGCCCUGCUACCCCGGAGACCGGCGGAGGGGCGGUCACCUGGUUGGGUGGGGUCGAGGGGCGGUACGCACCCUGGGGGAAGCCAAUGAGAAAAUCAGGCCCGGCCCGAGGGGGCGGUGCCUUCGGUCACAUGCGCACCUGGGGCGGGCGGUGGCGGCGGCGGCGCGGGCACCGCGAGCUCACGGCAAGGAGCAGGGCCGGGCUAGGGCGGGGUUAGGCAGGUGAGUGACAGGCUCUGGGGGGCCGGCCCCAGCCGGGAGCAGCGAGCGAGCCGGGUGUAGCCGCGGCGGUGCCCGCCCCCUCUCUCCGCCCCUCCAGCGGAGCUGGUCUUGGGCCGGGCACCGUCGCGGGCCCCCCUGGCCCGGCCACCUGGGACUGUGCUGGGGAGUCGGCCACCUCCCUCUCUCCCCUCGCCGCAAAGUUUGUGGCGAAGCCGGCGCUGGGGCACAGCGCGCCCCCGGGGGGCAGAUCCAGGAGCGCCCGAUGGCUGGCGGCAGGAGCCGUUGACCAGGGACGCCGCCGUCCGGGGCAGGAGCGCGGAGCAGCGGACCAGCCUGCCGCCUCCAGUGCAUGGGGCCCGGGUGAGGAGUCAGCAUGGGCAACUGCGUGGGGAGACAGCGCCGGGAGAGGCCGGCCGCCCCGGGACACCCCCGCAAGCGAGCAGACUAUUUUCAGCACAGCAGCCAGAGUGAUGCUGUAAACUCUAUUAAAAAGAGAAUAAAGGUAUAUCGACUCCCUGCCAAGUUCACAGAAAUAUGGUGCAGCCUAUAUAAAAACUGCAUGGGCUCCUUUAAGUUUUGAGUAUGUCAAGGUCAAGACAUUGUAGGGAAGUGGUCGAGGUCAAGUGCAUUCAAAAGGGAGGAGGUCUCUUUGUCACUUUUUUUAGUGGUCUUGGGCAAGUUAUUUGUGCUUGGUUGAUCUUCUGUUUAAAAAAUAAAAAAGAUGGUAAUAUCUUCAGUUUACUUCAGAGAGAUGUUAUGGGGGUAAAAUAAUAAGCUAACACUUUUUUUUUGUUUUUGUUUAUU